UACGUAGGUGGCGAGCGUUGUCCGGAUUUAUUGGGCGUAAAGCGCGCGCAGGCGGUGCGGUAAGUCUGUCGUGAAAUCUCCCGGCUCAACUGGGAGGGUGCGGUGGAGACUGCCGGACUGGAGGCACUCAGAGGCCGGUGGAAUUCCCGGUGUAGUGGUGAAAUGCGUAGAGAUCGGGAGGAACACCAGUGGCGAAGGCGGCCGGCUGGGGGUGACCUGACGCUGAGGCGCGAAAGCGUGGGGAGCGAACCG
rnacentral:rRNA from 1 species